GCCAACGAAAGAUGUGCAUUUGAGUGUUUGCCAUCAAAGUCUGAGCUCGAAUUAACACUCGAACGCCAAGUUUUCGGUUUUAUUCGUUUUGUGCACUCCGUGAGUUUUUCUCUAAACUGAUUGUAUAACUUUUGGUCUCGUUCAUUCGCUCUCCGAACGCUGUUUAUGUUCAGGUUGAAAUUUUAAUAUUCCUGUUUUCUGCCUCUCAGAGUGGAAUGCGAACCUAUGUUCUAUGGUACCUUUCAGCUCUUAGCUUAUUUUAGACAUUUUCUUGUAAAGUAAUUCUGAAGUUCCACAGAUGGCUUGGUGAUGGCAUUAAAUUAUUUUACAGAGAGCGAUGAGGUACAUCCUAAGUAGUUCAUUCGAAAUCAAAGAAGAAAACUUUUGGUUUUGAAAUCAGCUGAAUACGUUGGAUUAUUGCUGAGAAGAUUUUCAAAUUUCCAUGUUUUCUUUUGACAUGACAGCAUAAUUUAACAGUACUGAUGUAAAUUUGGUUUCCAACAGCAUUGUUAAAAACUAUAACUUAGUUUAUGGUCAGAGUUAAUGAAAAAAAUGGAAUACACAAAUCAGAAUGGAUAUUUUGGAAAACAAAAACUUACAAAUUCAAAUAACUCUAAUUUACUUCAGGUUAAACUUACGGAUAAUUUACAUAUAAUUUAAGUUUAAAAUUUAAUUAUAUACCGCUGUUGACGUUUGUAGAUGCCAUUUACAUACCAUCAAGUAAUUUCACUCAACGAUUAAAGAUGAUAACAAAAGUUUAGUGUAUAUCUGAAAAUUAGUAUAGAAUGCAUAGAAAAUGAAUAUAAUUUUCCAUAGGAUGAAA